rnacentral:rRNA from 1 species
CAAUAGCGUAUAUUAAAGUUGUUGCAGUUAAAAAGCUCGUAGUUGGAUUUCUGGCAGGAGUGACCGGCCGCACACACUGUGUGCGAGUUGCGUCAUUCUGGCCAUCCUUGGUGAGAUCCUGUUUGGCAUUAAGUUGUCGGGCAGGGGAUAACCAUCGUUUACUGUGAAAAAUUAGAGUGUUUAAAGCAGGCUUAUGCCGUUGAAUAUAUUAGCAUGGAAUAAUAAGAUAGGACUUUGAGUCUAUUUUGUUGGUUUGCGAGUCAAAGUAAUGAUUAAUAGGGACAGUUGGGGGUAUUCGUAUUUCAUUGUCAGAGGUGAAAUUCUUGGAUUUCUGAAAGACGAACUACUGCGAAAGCAUUUACCAAGGAUGUUUUCAUUAAUCAAGAACGAAAGUUAGGGGAUCGAAGACGAUUAGAUACCAU